UGGCUCUACUUGCCUAAAAUCACUUUUAUCUUAUCCAAAACAAUCAAAAUACUGUGCAACAGUGUGGGCAGGCCCAAUACUGAACAAAUAAUAACAUAUCUUUUUGUUUCAGACGGUGCGGUCUUGUUUAGCUGCGUCGUGUCGCUUUGACGGCCCACGUCAACGCCUUACGCCUACGAACUUUAUUGUAUUUUUAGUGAUAUAUUUAGUUAUUUUGUGUUUUAGUAUAUUGUGUUUUAGUGUUACGGCAAAAUCAAUUCCGAAAUUCUACCCAUUCUAUACGGUGCCAACCUGAUUGCCCUAACCAAAAAGGACGGAGGGGUGAGACCCAUUGCGGUGGGGUCCACACUGAGGCGUCUCGCAUCAAAAAUUGCGGUCCAGAACACGCGAGGCUUUUGGCGGUCGGAGCCCGGGAAGCCGGUUACUGGCUACAUGCCCAUCCCUCACCAAACACUGGUACUUUCUUGGAUCCGACCUCCCUUAGACUGGCGAUUGGCCUGCGACUUGGGGUUUCGGUGUGUACGCCACACAUAUGCUCUUGUGGCACGGACGUGGACCGACUGGGACACCAUGGAUUAUCUUGUCAAAAAAGUGCAGGCCGUUUUUCGAGACAUGCGUCGCUUAAUGACAUUAUCCGUCGGUCCCUUGCAACCAUCAAUGUGCCUGCUCUCCUUGAGCCGACUGGCAUAAUCAGAGA